rnacentral:rRNA from 1 species
AACGGCCAUACCAUGCUGAAUAUACCGGUUCUCGCUAGAUCACCGAAGUCAAGCAUCAUUGGGCGCGGUCAGUACUUGGGUGGGUGACAU